AUUGAACGCUGGCGGCAUGCCUUACACAUGCAAGUCGAACGGUAACAGGUUAAGCUGACGAGUGGCGAACGGGUGAGUAAUGUAUCGGAACGUGCCCAGUCGUGGGGGAUAACGUAGCGAAAGCUACGCUAAUACCGCAUACGAUCUACGGAUGAAAGCGGGGGAUCGCAAGACCUCGCGCGAUUGGAGCGGCCGAUAUCGGAUUAGGUUGUUUGUGAGGUAAAAGCUCACCAAGCCUGCGAUCUGUAGCGGGUCUGAGAGGACGACUAGCCACACUGGAACUGAGACACGGUCGAGACUCCUACGGGAGGCAGCAGUGGGGAAUUUUGGACAAUGGACGCAAGUCUGAUCCAGCAAUGCCGCGUGCAGGACGAAGGCCUUCGGGUUGUAAACUGCUUUUGUACGGAACGAAACGGUGAGCUCUAAUACAGUUUGCUAAUGACGGUACCGUAAGAAUAAGCACCGGCUAACUACGUGCCAGCCGCCGCAGUAA
rnacentral:rRNA from 1 species